ACAAGGUGAUCGCAAGGAUCUAACCCACAAAAUCGACAAAAUAAAAGAAAAAAAAGAAACUGGUUACAUCAUCAGCUUAACUAUAUGAGUUCUAAGUUUCUCAUUAUACCACCCUCUAUAUACUAUCAUAUUAAUAAUAUUAUCAACUGUUUUGGUAUUAUCUACAUUGUCAUCAAAACAUUUAUUGUUUUGGUACUGCCAAAUCACAUAGAUUGUCUCUGUAGCGGCUAGCUUUAAGAUGGACGCCCUC
rnacentral:lncRNA from 1 species